rnacentral:rRNA from 1 species
UACGUAGGGGGCAAGCGUUGUCCGGAUUUAUUGGGCGUAAAGAGCGUGUAGGCGGCCAGACAGGUCCGUUGUGAAAACUCGAGGCUCAACCUCGAGAUGUCGAUGGAAACCGUCUGGCUAGAGUCCGGAAGAGGAGUGUGGAAUUCCUGGUGUAGCGGUGAAAUGCGCAGAUAUCAGGAAGAACACCUAUGGCGAAGGCAGCCAUCUGGACCGACACUGACGCUGAGGCGCGAAAGCGUGGGGAGCAAACAGG